UUCAAAUAUGUAUCAAAGCCAAUUUGGGCAACAAUCCUCUUUGCCGAGAGAAACGUUGGGGGAAGCUGAACAACGUUUAUGGCAGCAACAACUUUCUUUAUCAACAGAAACGUGGGAGGAUGAUCAACAACUAUCUCAUCAAAUAGUUGAUUUGAUGGAACAAGUCAAAAGUCUUAAUGAGAAGUUCGACAAAUUUUUGAAGAAGUACGAUUCCUAGAGCUAUGAAGUUACCUUUAGGAAUUUGGAGACAUAAAUUGAUAUAGUUGUUGAUGAGGAGAAGAUAGAGGAGGAAAAGAUAGAGGAGGAAGAAAUAGAAAAGUUGAGUGAGGAAGAUAAAGAUGAUAAGGGAGAAAAAGCAAUGGUUGAGAAAAAGAAAAAAAGAAAAAAUAUGCGAAAAUAAAGAAGAAAAGAAGAAAAGAGAAAAAAAGAAAGUUGAGGGAGGAGAUUAAGAAAAAGAGGAAGAGAGGAAAGAAGAAAAGAUCAUAUGCAAAACCUCUUCCUCAUCAAAAGAAAUAUCAUAGGAAAGAAAAGAAGUUUAAGUGCUUUAUUGAAAUCUUCAAGAAAUUGGAGAUUAAAGUUCGUAUGAUUGAUAUAUGGAAAUACGUGCUUGGUGUUCUCAAUUUUCUGAAGAAAUUCAGCAGGAAGAAGAAAAAGAAAAGAAUAUCAAGCAAAGAGAAUCAACACCUACUGAGGGGUGUUUUUAUUUUUCUGUUUUUAUUUUUUCUGUUUUUA
rnacentral:lncRNA from 1 species